CGAUGUUAAUUAUUAGACUUAUUAUGGCCAUAGCCGUUUUUAUGUUUACGCUGAGUUAUCAGUUGAGUUUUUGGGUUUACAUCUUAGUGUUAAACCUAAGCAUAAAUAAGAAAAGAGAGAGUCUGAAAGAGAGAAGUAAGAGAAAGACAAGUCUUUGAAUUCUUUGAGAUUUUAUCAGUGAUUUACAAGUGUCGUUUGAACAAAUUAAAGGUAUGUUCUAUAAACCUUAUCAUAUAUGGUUUACAUUAUAUAGUCUCUAUGAAAUUGUAUGUCUCCAUUUUCUUAAAAAUCACUGUGUAUAAGACUUCUACCAAAAUCUCUAAAAAAACCAUGUUUGUAUAAUUGGGUAGAGAGUUAUGAUAAUAUGUGUAAUUGUUAUAUAUAUAUAUAUAUGACUGUAUGCUAAUUACAUGAUAAAGGAAGGACAUUGGUUUGUACAAUAGAAAUUCAUGUAUGAACGUAUGUUUGUAGAAAUAUCAAAGUUAGUGUAUGUUAAUUUAGAAAUUGAAUUAUGCAUGUUAAUUGGUUUAUAUGUUAGUAUGUUUGUGUUUUAAAAGAAUCAAAUUGGAUUUUAUAUGAACUUACAGUGUUCACUGUGUUUACUAAUUAUCAGUAAUGGAGUUUUG
rnacentral:lncRNA from 1 species